CCUACGGGAGGCUGCAGUGGGGAAUAUUGGACAAUGGGGGCAACCCUGAUCCAGCCAUGCCGCGUGUGUGAAGAAGGCCCUCGGGUUGUAAAGCGCUUUCAGUGAGGAAGAACGCCUGGUGGUUAAUACCCAUCAGGAAAGACAUCACUCACAGAAGAAGCACCGGCUAACUCCGUGCCAGCAGCCGCGGUAAUACGGAGGGUGCGAGCGUUAAUCGGAAUUACUGGGCGUAAAGCGCGCGUAGGUGGCUUGAUAAGCCGGUUGUGAAAGCCCCGGGCUCAACCUGGGAACGGCAUCCGGAACUGUCAAGCUAGAGUGCAGGAGAGGAAGGUAGAAUUCCCGGUGUAGCGGUGAAAUGCGUAGAGAUCGGGAGGAAUACCAGUGGCGAAGGCGGCCUUCUGGACUGACACUGACACUGAGGUGCGAAAGCGUGGGUAGCAAACAGGAUUAGAUACCCCGGUAGUC
rnacentral:rRNA from 1 species